rnacentral:rRNA from 1 species
CCCGCUGAACUUAAGCAUAUUACUCAGCGGAGGAAAAGAAAACAACCGUGAUUCCCUCAGUCAGCGGCGAGCGAAGAGGGACCGAACCCAAUGCCGAAUCCAAGCUUAAACGCUCUGUGAGUUGUGGCAUUCGCCAUGAGUGGCUGGUGUGGGCCUGGCAAAAUUCAAGCGCAAAGCAAACCCAUUGCUGAAACCUACCCUUCAAUUGAGUAUUGAGCCAUAGAAGGUGUUAGCCCAUUUGAGCCAGAAACCCAUGCCUCAUCAAGUGGCACAAGCGAGUAGCACUGCUUGGGAGUGCAGUGUUAAGCGGCAGGUAUGUGUCUGCCAAGGUUAAAUAUAAAGUGGGAAGACCGAUAGCAAAUAAGUAGCGUGAGCGAAAGUUUGAAAAGAUCUUUGGAAAGAGAGUGACAUAGAACCUGAAGUCGUGACAACGAUAAUGGAAGUACCUCCAUUUUAUUCUGGCCAAAACCAGCCCUGCGGCAUUCUACGCGGAAGGACCUAAACACGCCUUCUGUGCCAAACUCAAAUGCAAAACCGGGGCUUGGGUAAAUCGAGCGGAGAUAAAGCGGCGUGGCACUGCCGUACCACUUUCCGAAAGAUUGCGGUGCGACCAGCAAGCCUGCGUCACUUCUCCGGGAACUCGGUGUUGGCGAACACAAAGUGGAAAUGGGGUGCCUCCACCCGUCUUGAAACACGG